GAUGAACGCUGGCGGCGUGCCUAAUACAUGCAAGUCGAGCGAACGGACGAGAAGCUUGCUUCUCUGAUGUUAGCGGCGGACGGGUGAGUAACACGUGGAUAACCUACCUAUAAGACUGGGAUAACUUCGGGAAACCGGAGAUAAUACCGGAUAAUAUUUUGAACCGCAUGGUUCAAAAGUGAAAGACGGUCUUGCUGUCACUUAUAGAUGGAUCCGCGCUGCAUUAGCUAGUUGGUAAGGUAACGGCUUACCAAGGCAACGAUGCAUAGCCGACCUGAGAGGGUGAUCGGCCACACUGUAACUGAGACACGGUCCAGACUCCUACGGGAGGCAGCAGUAGGGAAUCUUCCGCAAUGGGCGAAGGCCUGACGGAGCAACGCCGCGUGAGUGAUGAAGGUCUUCGGAUCGUAAAACUCUGUUAUUAGGGAAGAACAUAUGUGUAAGUAACUGUGCACAUCUUGACGGUACCUAAUCAGAAAGCCACGGCUAACUACGUG
rnacentral:rRNA from 1 species